rnacentral:tRNA from 1 species
GGCUCUGUAGCUCAGUCUGGUUAGAGCACUAGACUCUUAAUCUAGGUGUCGUGGGUUCGAAUCCCUCCAGGGCCA